rnacentral:rRNA from 1 species
UACGGGGGGGGCAAGCGUUGUUCGGAAUUACUGGGCGUAAAGCGCGUGUAGGCGGCCCGAUAAGUCCGCUGUGAAAGUCCAGGGCUCAACCCUGGGAUGCCGGUGGAUACUGUCGGGCUCGAGUCCGGAAGAGGCGAGUGGAAUUCCUGGUGUAGCGGUGAAAUGCGCAGAUAUCAGGAGGAACACCAAUGGCGAAGGCAGCUCGCUGGGACGUGACUGACGCUGAGACGCGAAAGCGUGGGGAGCAAACAGG